UACAGAGGGUGCGAGCGUUAAUCGGAAUUACUGGGCGUAAAGCGUGCGCAGACGGUCACGUAAGUCGGGUGUGAAAGCCCCGGGCUCAACCUGGGAAUUGCAUUCGAGACUGCGUGGCUAGGGUGCGGAAGAGGGAAGCGGAAUUUCCGGUGUAGCGGUGAAAUGCGUAGAUAUCGGAAGGAACACCAGUGGCGAAAGCGGCUCCUGGUCCAGCACCGACGUCAGGCACGAAAGCGUGGGGAGCAAACAGG
rnacentral:rRNA from 1 species